UACGGAGGAUGCAAGCGUUAUCCGGAUUUAUUGGGCGUAAAGCGUCCGCAGGUGGCUUGUCAAGUCUGCUGUCAAAGCGCGGAGCUUAACUCCGUAAAGGCAGUGGAAACUGACAGGCUAGAGUCUGGUAGGGGUUGCGGGAAUUCCCAGUGUAGCGGUGAAAUGCGUAGAUAUUGGGAAGAACACCGGCGGCGAAAGCGCGCAACUGGACCGGAACUGACACUCAUGGACGAAAGCUAGGGGAGCGAAA
rnacentral:rRNA from 1 species